rnacentral:lncRNA from 10 species
UCCAUCUCAAAAAGAAAAGAAAAGAAAAGAACCAGAACACUUUUGACAGUAAAGGGGGACAUAAUUACACCAGCUCAGCCAGGCAAACCAGGACAUUUAUAGGAGACCAUGGAUUGAUACCCCAACAUCUAUUCCACCUCAAUUAAUUAUCCUGCAAUAGUGGUCUUGAAAGUUGCGGUCCGGGAGCAAUGGCUCACGCCUGUAAUCACAGCACUUUGGGAGGCCAAGGCAGGCGGAUCACAGGGUCAAGAGAUUGAGACCAUCUUGGCUAACAUGGUGAAACCCCGUCUCUACUAAAAAUAUAAAAAGGCCGGGCGUAGUGG